AUGAUCACUUGAACAGCACAUACACUAAAAUCGGAACGAUACAGAGAUUAGCACAGCCCCUGUCCAACGAUGACAUAUAAAGUGUGUUCCGUAUUUUU
ensembl:snRNA U6 U6 spliceosomal RNA